rnacentral:rRNA from 1 species
AAUCAACGCUGGCGGCGUGCCUCAGACAUGCAAGUCGAACGCGAAAGUUCCCUUCGGGGAGCGAGUAGAGUGGCGUCCGGGUGAGUAACACGUAGGUAAUCUACCUUUGGGUGGGGAAUAACAACCGGAAACGGUUGCUAAUACCGCAUAAUGCAGCGGCACCGCAUGGUGACAGUUGUUAAAGCGGGGGAUCGCAAGACCUCGCGCCUAAAGAGGAGCCUGUGGCGGAUUA